rnacentral:rRNA from 1 species
UACGUAGGGACCGAGCGUUGUUCGGAAUUACUGGGCGUAAAGGGCCAGUAGGCGGCCAACUAAGUCGGAUGUGAAAUCCCCAGGCUCAACUUGGGAACUGCAUCCCGAUACUGGGAUGGCUUAAUUCGGGAGAGGGAUGCAGAAUUCCGAGGUGUAGGCGGUGAAAUGCGUAGAGUAUACUGGGAGGAAUACCGGUGGCGAAGGCGGGCAUCCUCGGACCGACAUUGACGCUGAACGGC